rnacentral:lncRNA from 1 species
UUUACAACGAGAACUGUGAUGUCAUCCUUAUCUCUGUUCCUCUGCAGGCCGAGCAGCGAGACUCAGCUCAGCCGGCGUUCGCAGUGCGCCUGCGUGCGGGGGCCGGCCCGAGCGCCUACGCGCGCCCCUCCGGCGCUUGUCGCAGAGGCUGCCGGGAGACGUAGUCUUGUAACGCUCUCUCGCCGGACAUUCCUAAUGGUUAGCGCCCAGCCUGUGAAGAGUCGGGGGUCGGGGAGGGGGUCUCGCUAAGAAGGAGGUUUGCAGACCAUGGCAAAGGCUGGAGCUAGAGAUUCGCUGGCCUUGAAGAAGCAAGCUGUCAUGUUGCGAACUGCCUAUGGAGAAAACUAAAUGGCAGGGAACUGCAGACGGCUUCUAGAACUUGAGCGCAGCCUGCAGCUGACAACCAGUAAGAAGCCAGGGCCCUCAGUCACACAACCACAAGGAAAUGAAUUCUGCCAACAACCUGAGAGGUGGCCUCCAGAUGAGAAGACAGCCUGACUUAAACCUUGAUAGCAGUUUUGUGAGACCCUGAGCAAAGAAAACAGAUAAACUGUGCGUAGACUCCU